rnacentral:rRNA from 1 species
GUUUGAUCAUGGCUCAGAUUGAACGCUGGCGGCAUGCCUUACACAUGCAAGUCGAACGGUAACGGGCCUUCGGGUGCCGACGAGUGGCGAACGGGUGAGUAAUGUAUCGGAACGUACCUUUCAGUGGGGGAUAACGUAGCGAAAGUUACGCUAAUACCGCAUAUUCUGUGAGCAGGAAAGCAGGGGGAUCGCAAGACCUUGCGCUGAUUGAGCGGCCGAUAUCAGAUUAGCUAGUUGGUGAGGUAAAGGCUCACCAAGGCGACGAUCUGUAGCGGGUCUGAGAGGAUGAUCCGCCACACUGGAACUGAGACACGGUCCAGACUCCUACGGGAGGCAGCAGUGGGGAAUUUUGGACAAUGGGGGCAACCCUGAUCCAGCCAUGCCGCGUGAGUGAAGAAGGCCUUCGGGUUGUAAAGCUCUUUCGGCCGGGAAGAAAUCGUAUGGGUUAAUACCCUGUGCGGAUGACGGUACCGGCAUAAGAAGCACCGGCUAACUACGUG